rnacentral:lncRNA from 1 species
CUGAUGUGUCCAUACCAACGAUGGCCGUCAGCAGGGGCUGUGUGGAAGGACAGAGCUGCUGGGGCCUUGGGAAGACAAGAGACCGGCUGCCGCCUGUAACUGCUGGCCUGGCUGUGGGCUUUUGGCUGAGGUCUGCAGCCAUGCACUGGCCACCGUGUUGUACAGGAAGAGGACUUCUCACUGGUUUCCACAGUCUGUGCACCCUGACAGCGGGUUGUCUACUGGAACCUGGUUCAACGUCUCUUGGUUGAAACCUUGGUGGUGCCAGGGCUUGAAAGCCCUUUCCCCGGAGGGCUCCCCUGUUGGCUCUGACUUGCUGUCCUCGAGUCAGCUUUGGGGCUGGGAGCCACCACAGGACCUGGCUCCCCACGACACCGGCUGAGCCCGGAAGCAGCUGAAGGUUCCAGGACCCUCGGGGCAGCUCCCAGGCCGGCGAGGAAGAAGCCAGGGUGAAAUUUGCG